UCCAUUAGUAGCAGCAUGUGGUGGACCGCC
rnacentral:piRNA from 1 species